rnacentral:rRNA from 1 species
AUUGAACGCUGGCGGCAGGCCUAACACAUGCAAGUCGAGCGGAGCGGCGGACGGGUGAGUAAUGCCUAGGAAUCUGCCUGGUCGUGGGGGAUAACGUCCGGAAACGGGCGCUAAUACCGCAUACUAUUAGCUGACCCUAGGUCGGAUUAGCGAUUUGGUGGGGUAAAGGCCUACAAGGGCGACGACACGGAACUGGUUUGAGAGGAUGAUUAGUCACACGGGAACUGAGACACGGUCCGGACGCCUACGGGAGGCAGCAGUGGGGAAUAUUGGACAAUGGGCGAAGGCCUGAUCCGGCCAGGCCGCGUGUGUGAAGAAGGUCUUCGGAUUGUAAGGCACUUUAAGUUGGGAGGCGUUACCAACAGAAUAAGCACCGGCUAACUACGUGCCAGCAGCCGCGGUAAUUC